CGAGUUUAGCUAAUAUGAUUCCCCCUGAAAGUAAGCGUGCAAAAUGAAUAGAGAAAUAAAAAAAACAAAGUUGCAGAACAUAUAUAUUCAUAUUAUAAUAAUGCAACCGAUACCGCAUAUUUAUAUGAAAUUUAAUCUGACAAAUCUACAAAAACAAAAGAAUUCACUGGAACAGCAAGACUCAUUAAUUCAACAUGAGUGAAGCUAAAAAGCUGCAUGUUGCUUUGUUUCCAUGGCUAGCAUUUGGUCAUAUAAUCCCAUUCUUUGAGCUCUCCAAGCUUAUAGCCCUGAAGGGUCAUAAAAUCUCCUUUAUAUCCACUCCUAGAAAUAUCCAGCGUUUGCCAAAAUUUCCUCCAAAUUUAGCACCUCUUAUCAAUUUAGUGAGCCUCCCUUUACCCACAGUUGAACAUCUCCCACGGAAUGCAGAGGCUACCACUGAUAUACCUUCCCACAAAACUCCAUACCUCAAGCUUGCCUUUGACGGCCUCCAAGGCCCUCUGCUUCAGUUUUUACAAACUUCUACUCCAGAUUGGAUCAUCUACGACUUUGCUCCGUACUGGUUACCUCCCAUUUUGGCCAAUCUUGGGAUCUCCGGUGUCUUCUACAGUAUGUACGGUGCAUGGACUCUAUCUUUCUUUGGAUCAUCAUCGUCAGCCAUGAUUAACGGUGAGGAUCCAAGGACUGGACCAGAGGAUUUCACUGUGCCUCCUAAGUGGAUCCCUUUUCCUUCCAAGAUCGCAUUUCGGCUCCAUGAGGCAAAGCAAGCUUUCCGUAAUCACUUUGAGGUAAACGAUUCGGGUUUCUCCGAUGUGUUUCGUUUAGGUUCAGUAAUGGGAGGUUGUGAUGUUAUAGCUAUACGGAACUGCAAUGAGCUAGAAAGUAACUUUUCGAGGCUUGUCGGAGAGCUUCACAGCAAGCCUGUACUUCCAACAGGUUUGCUGCCGCCUGCAGAUUUUGAUGGCAGCAGUGACCAAGAUGAUAUGUGGCUUACAAUCAAAGAAUGGCUAGACAAGCAAAAUAAAGGUUCUGUGGUUUACAUAGCAUUUGGAAGCGAGUCGGAACUGAGUCAACCCGAACUACACGAAUUGGCACUUGGUUUGGAGUUAUCAGGGUUGCCAUUCUUUUGGGCUCUAAGGAAGCGAGAUAACUCGGUCAAGUUACCAGAUGGGUUUGAGGAGCGAACCAAAGGACGUGGUGUGGUGUGCAUUAGUUGGGCUCCUCAGCUCAAGAUCUUAGCUCAUGACUCAGUUGGUGGUUUCUUGACUCACUCUGGGUGGAGCUCAGUUGUGGAGGCACUUCAACAUGAGAGAGCUCUUAUUCUCUUGACAUUCUUGGCGGACCAAGGUUUUAAUGCUAGGAUUUUGGAGGAGAAGAACAUGGGUUACCCAAUACCAAGGAACGAGUUUGAUGGAUAUUUCUCAAGGGACUCAGUAGCUGAGUCACUGAGAUUAGUAAUGGUGAAGGAAGAGGGUAAAAUUUACAGAGAAAAGGCCAAAGAAAUGAAAAGUUUGUUCGGAGAUAGGGAAAAACAAGACAAGUACGUGGACAAUUUUCUGGGUUACCUGCAAAGCCAUGGACGUCAAACAGAAUCCCAAGAAAGUUUGACAAGGUGAAUGGUGCCAGCCGAUUUUCUUUUAUCCAGUUGGACAAGUUAUAGCUGGGUCAUCCUCUCUGAUGCAGGAGAGCUUAUCUUUGUGUUUAACCUGCUUCCUACCUCGUAGGUCUACUAGCUGUUAUUUUCGUAUUUUAUAUUGUUAAAUUUGAAUUCUAGACCUCUGCAUAUGUAGAACCAUUUUACUUAGCUUGAGAUUGUAAGAUUAAUUAUUUUGAAAUUGCAAACUUAUUAUCUAUGCAUGUGGAAUGAGUGGAUGGAUGAUCAUGUUGGAUGAGGGAGUUAGACUCCCAUUUGAUCUUAUAUUGAGUUGUUGAUGAUUGUGAGGGAGAGCUGAGCUUCCCAU
rnacentral:misc_RNA from 1 species